rnacentral:misc_RNA from 1 species
UUUUUUGGGCAAGGGCUUGUAAGGACAAGCCGGAGGUGCCCGCUCUGGUUUUCUGUAUUCCCAUCCAAAAAGCCGAUAAACUUUUCCCACGAUAUAAUCGAAGAGCAGAGGCAAUAUGUUGACGAUGGGGACCAAGAACAGAGGUAUUAAGCAAAAUAUGCACACCAUCUUUCUAUAUGGUAUGAAAUUGUUCGAUAUGAUCUUGGAGAGAAGACGAGCGAUUAAUCCUCUUCUUGAAUUCUGAUUCUGUUCUACGAAUUUCUGUUUUCUC